UGGCGUAGUGGUUCCAAUGUGGCAACCAGAGGUGUCCUUCUGGUUGUCUUGGUAUGGAGCCACAGCUCCAGCACUGAGUCACAGUCACAUGCAGAGGCCACCAAGGAACAUGUGAUAUUUCAGAUCUGAGUCGAUGGUUUCACAUGUAAACAUUAUCAGAAAACAAUGAGUCAGGCUCUCCCGAGCCAUAUGCUUCAUCUCAGAGCCAAGGCUGUGUCAUCACUGCCAAAUGCUCCUUCAGGCCACUAAAUCACCACAGUAAGAUCAGAGCUUCAGGACCUAAGUAGUGCCUGGGGAUCUGAAAGAGACGACUGACGGAGGUGGUUGAUGGGAUUCUUACAGCCCUUGUCGGGCUCCAAUUUGCAAAGCUCCAGAGUGGAUCCCCAAGUUCUCUACCAGGAAAUUGUGCAGGAGACUGAGGGAAAGGUGAGGAGGCAGCUAUCAAAUAUUUUCCAGUUCUUUGUUGGAGGCCCUGGCCAGUGGGCAUACUUGAGAAUGAGGAUAAACGAAAAGAGCGCCUCUUACCCAUGAUAAUGGUGGCUGGAAUCAGAGACCAGGCAUGGACAAGAAGCCAGUGGAGAGUGCUGGAGGAUGAGAACCAUGGACACCUGAGUAAACCUA